rnacentral:rRNA from 1 species
AUUCUGGCUCAGGAUGAACGCUGGCGGCGUGCUUAACACAUGCAAGUCGAACGGGAUCCAUCAGGCUUUGCUUGGUGGUGAGAGUGGCGAACGGGUGAGUAAUGCGUGACCGACCUGCCCCAUACACCGGAAUAGCUCCUGGAAACGGGUGGUAAUGCCGGAUGCUCCGACUCCUCGCAUGGGGUGUCGGGAAAGAUUUCAUCGGUAUGGGAUGGGGUCGCGUCCUAUCAGGUAGUCGGCGGGGUAACGGCCCACCGAGCCUACGACGGGUAGCCGGCCUGAGAGGGCGACCGGCCACAUUGGGACUGAGAUACGGCCCAGACUCCUACGGGAGGCAGCAGUGGGGAAUAUUGCACAAUGGGCGCAAGCCUGAUGCAGCGACGCCGCGUGCGGGAUGACGGCCUUCGGGUUGUAAACCGCUUUUGAUCGGGAGCAAGCCUUCGGGUGAGUGUACCUUUCGAAUAAGCACCGGCUAACUACGUGCCAGCAGCCGCGGUAAUACGUAGGGUGCAAGCGUUAUCCGGAAUUAUUGGGCGUAAAGGGCUCGUAGGCGGUUCGUCGCGUCCGGUGUGAAAGUCCAUCGCUUAACGGUGGAUCUGCGCCGGGUACGGGCGGGCUGGAGUGCGGUAGGGGAGACUGGAAUUCCCGGUGUAACGGUGGAAUGUGUAGAUAUCGGGAAGAACACCAAUGGCGAAGGCAGGUCUCUGGGCCGUUACUGACGCUGAGGAGCGAAAGCGUGGGGAGCGAACAGGAUUAGAUACCCUGGUAGUCCACGCCGUAAACGGUGGAUGCUGGAUGUGGGGCCCGUUCCACGGGUUCCGUGUCGGAGCUAACGCGUUAAGCAUCCCGCCUGGGGAGUACGGCCGCAAGGCUAAAACUCAAAGAAAUUGACGGGGGCCCGCACAAGCGGCGGAGCAUGCGGAUUAAUUCGAUGCAACGCGAAGAACCUUACCUGGGCUUGACAUGUUCCCGACAGCCGUAGAGAUAUGGCCUCCCUUCGGGGCGGGUUCACAGGUGGUGCAUGGUCGUCGUCAGCUCGUGUCGUGAGAUGUUGGGUUAAGUCCCGCAACGAGCGCAACCCUCGCCCUGUGUUGCCAGCACGUCAUGGUGGGAACUCACGGGGGACCGCCGGGGUCAACUCGGAGGAAGGUGGGGAUGACGUCAGAUCAUCAUGCCCCUUACGUCCAGGGCUUCACGCAUGCUACAAUGGCCGGUACAACGGGAUGCGACACGGCGACGUGGAGCGGAUCCCUGAAAACCGGUCUCAGUUCGGAUUGGAGUCUGCAACCCGACUCCAUGAAGGCGGAGUCGCUAGUAAUCGCGGAUCAGCAACGCCGCGGUGAAUGCGUUCCCGGGCCUUGUACACACCGCCCGUCAAGUCAUGAAAGUGGGCAGCACCCGAAGCCGGUGGCCUAACCCCUUGUGGGAUGGAGCCGUCUAAGGUGAGGCUCGUGAUUGGGACUAAGUCGUAACAAGGUAGCCGUACCGGAAGGUGCGGCUG